CAGCAGCCACGGUAAUACGUAGGGUGCAAGCGUUAAUCGGAAUUACUGGGCGUAAAGCGUGCGCAGGCGGUUAUAUAAGUCAGAUGUGAAAUCCCCGGGCUCAACCUGGGAACUGCAUUUGAGACUGUAUGGCUAGAGUGUGUCAGAGGGGGGUAGAAUUCCACGUGUAGCAGUGAAAUGCGUAGAUAUGUGGAGGAAUACCGAUGGCGAAGGCAGCCCCCUGGGAUAACACUGACGCUCAUGCACGAAAGCGUGGGGAGCAAACAGGAUUAGAUACCCGUGUAGUCCCUGUCUCUUAUAC
rnacentral:rRNA from 1 species